rnacentral:rRNA from 1 species
AUCAUGGCUCAGGAUGAACGCUAGCGGCAGGCUUAACACAUGCAAGUCGAGGGGCAGCAUGAGACGGAGAUUCGUCGAAGUCUUGAUGGCGACCGGCGCAGGGUGCGUAACGCGUGAGCAACUUGCCCGUUUCUGGGGAAUAACCGGUGGAAACGCCGACUAAUACCCCAUAGUAUGUUUUUAAGGCAUCUUUUAAACAUUAAAGAAUUUCGGAAACGGAUAGGCUCGCGUGACAUUAGCUAGAUGGCGGGGUAACGGCCCACCAUGGCGACGAUGUCUAGGGGUUCUGAGAGGAAGGUCCCCCACACUGGAACUGAGACACGGUCCAGACUCCUACGGGAGGCAGCAGUGAGGAAUAUUGGACAAUGGUCUGACGACUGAACCAGCCAUGCCGCGUGAAGGUGACGGCCCUAUGGGUCUUAAACUUCUUUUGUAAGGGAGCAAUAAGGUGUACGUGUACAUCGAUGAGAGUACCUUACGAAUAAGCAUCGGCUAACUCCGUG